ACAAGAAAGGCCAUAAAAGCUGGUGUGGGGGUGGCAGGGUGGAGGAGAGCAGGCGAGAGGGGCCGGGGCCGGGCUCUGCCUGGCGUCCCCGGGGACGGCGCGGGUUGGCAGAGACAGCAGCACUUUGGUGAGAUGAAGUGAUUGCUGAGCUCCAAGUGCCGAAUGAUGGAAGCUCCAGCAGGGAGGGACGAAAAGGCAAAUGAGUCACGUGGCUGAAUCCCUCAGACCCCGAUCCGCAUCCAGAGGAGAUGAAUCACUCGGGGGAACCGGGCACUCUCUGCCUUCACCGGGCAACUUCUGAAGGAGCCGUCGUCACCGGUGGGGAAAACUUUCCCUGUGAAAUGAAGCGCUGCAGAGCUCCGGGCAGACCCCGCACACGCGCGUGCGCCCCGGCGUGUCCCCUGACAUGGGCACACACGGCCCCACAGGGACCACGGUGCUCCGUGGGGGUUUCCAGUCUGGAUUCGCGUCCCAGUGCCUGAAAAAAUGUCCCUGUGUGAUGCUGGAGUCGGGGGGGCUUGGCCGGCUGGUCCUGCUGCACCCCCGAUGGCCCUGUCCCACACGGAGGGUCUGUCACACACACACGUACAGACACCCACACACUCACCCCCCCCGGGCUCCCCCUCAUCUCCCCAGCACCCCCACCCC